rnacentral:rRNA from 1 species
GUGCCAGCAGCCGCGGUAAUACGGAGGGAGCUAGCGUUGUUCGGAAUUACUGGGCGUAAAGCGUACGUAGGCGGUUAUUCAAGUCAGAGGUGAAAGCCUGGAGCUCAACUCCAGAACUGCCUUUGAAACUAGAUAGCUAGAAUCUUGGAGAGGUUAGUGGAAUUCCGAGUGUAGAGGUGAAAUUCGUAGAUAUUCGGAAGAACACCAGUGGCGAAGGCGACUAACUGGACAAGUAUUGACGCUGAGGUACGAAAGCGUGGGGAGCAAACAGGAUUAGAAACCCCCGUAGUCC